CUCUUAAACCCCAGGAGCGAGAACCUUCCUCCUUUCUCCAGGAAGACGCAGAGCAGAGACUAUAGACAGUAAAAGAAAGAGAGCAGAGACAGUCAGACUCAUUGCAUCUAUGGCCAGAUUACAGUCCUCUACAGCGAUUUACCAGCAUGGCAUCGCAGGACAUGGGCCGCUCUCUCUCCCUGGGGUCCGUGAAUCAGCUGAGAGCAGAGGGAAAGGGAGUUAAAUGAAAAUGCAUUUAGCAUGCAGGAGGCGUCUGUUACCUGUCUGUCAGGUGCUGCAUUAGCAGACGACAUUAAAGCCAAGAUGAAGUGAAACUUUGAAUGGUACGCCAAGAAAACAACAAACGCCAAGGAUUGUAAGUUUUUCCACAGGCAAAACUAUAAAUCCAGAUGGUGUGGAGGAUCGACCCGAGCCGAUGGAAAAUAACAGUGGAGGGCUGAAAAGCCUGAAAACAAAUGUAUUUCUGAAGGUGGUGAUAGAAUAAGACUUUCACACCUAGAGAAAGCCCAGAUCAACACAAAUGUAAAUGUGCCACUUUAGUGUGUUAUAUUAUGUAAUGUUAUUGUCUGAUGUUCUCCACUGUGAUAUUUCUCCCUGUUUCAUAAUAAACAUUCAACAAGGUAUCCAAA